GUACGGUUUUUAGGGUUAGGCAGGGUUUAGGGUUAGGAAGGGUUUAGGGUUAGGCAGGGUUUAGGGUUAAAAAGGGUUUAGGGUAGGUAGAGUUUAGGGUUAGUAGGGUUUUGGGUUAGGUAGGGUUUAGGGUUAGGUAGGGUUUAGGGUUGGUAGGGUUUAAUGUUAGGUAGGGUUUAGGGUUCGGUAGGGUUUAGGGUUAGAUAGGGUUUAGGGUUAAAAAAGGUUUAGGGUAGGUAGGGUUUAGGGUUAGUAGGGUUUUGGGCUAGGUAGGGUUUAGGGUUAGGUAGGGUUUAGGGUUGGUAGGGUUUAGGGUUAGGUAAGGUUUAGGGUUCGGUAGGGUUUACGGUUAGGUAGGUUUUAGGGUUACGUACGGUUUAGGGUUAGGUAGGGUUUAGAAUUGGGUAUGGUUUAGGGUUAGUAGGGUUUAGGGUUAGGUAGGGUUUAGGGUUAGAAAGGGUCUAGGGUUAGAAUGGUUUUAGGGUUAGGUAGGGUUUAGGUUAGGUAGGGUUUAGGGUUAGUAGGGUUUAGGGUUAUGUAGGGUUAGGGUUAGGUAGGGUUUAGAAUUAGGUAGGGUUUAGGGUUAGCAUGGUUUAGGGUUAGAAGGGUUUAGGGUUAGUAGGGUUUAGGGUAUGUAGGAUUUAGGGCUAGAAAGGGUUUAGGGUUAGGUAGGGUUUAAGGUUAGAAGGGGUUUGGGGUUAGGUAGGGUUUAUGGUUAGAAAGGGUUAAGGGUAGGUAGGGUUUAGGGUUAGGUAGGGUUAAGGGUUAGGUAGGGUUUAGAAUUAGGUAGGAUUUAGGGUUAGGUAGGGUUUAGGGUUAGAAAGGGUUUAGGGUUAGUAGGGUUUAAGGUUAGUAGGGUUAGUAGGGUUUAGGGCUAGAAAGGUUUUAGGUUAGGUAGGGUUAGUAGGGUUUAGAGUUAUGUAGGGUUAGGGUUAGGUAGGGUUUAGGGUUAGUAGGGUUUAGGGUUAGGUAGGGUUUAGGGUUAGGUAGGGUUUAGGGUUAGGUUUUAGGUAGGGUUUUAGGGUUAGGAAGGGUUUUAGGGUUAGGAAGGGUUUAGGGUUAAAUAGGGUUUAGGGUUAGGUAGGGUUUACGUUUAGGGUUAGGUUGGUUUACGAUUUGAUAGGUUUAGGGUUUAGGUAGUAUGAAGGGUUUAGGGAUUAGGGUUUGGUUUAUGUAGGGUUUAGGGUUAGAUAGGGUUAAGGUCUAGGUUUAGGUAGGAUUUAGGGUCAGGUAGGAUUUAGGGUUUAGGUAGUAGGAAAGGUUAGCGUUUGGUUUAAGUUGGGUUUAAGGUUUGAUUUAGAAUAAUGCUUAGGAUUAUAGGGUUUAGGGUUUGUUUGUUUUUUUGUUUAUGCAUUUAGUGCUGAGUUUUUCGGAUAAAAUUUUAUAUUAAUAUUAUUGAUUCAUAAUUUUUCUUAAAAUAUUAAAAUUAUUAAAGUGAUUUUUAAUGUUUUUAAAACAAAAUAUGUAUUUUUUUAUUAAGUUUUUUGUGACAAUAAGUUGAAUAUAUUUUAAACCACAAAUCAUAAAUAUUCUCAGUCUUAUACAAUUUGUUCUUUAAGUUAUUGUUACUUUUAUUUUCUUUUAUACAUUUCUCUUAAUAUUUAUGUAUGCAUGCAUAAUAUUUUUUUAAAAGGAUUUUUCAUUAACUAAUGUAUUUAUUGUAGUUUUAAAUAUAUUAUAGUUUUCGUGCACUUGAUUAAAAUUUUUUGGCGUUGGUGGUAUUUGAAGUUGUUGAGAACUUGAAUGUAUAUUUACUUUCAUAAAGUUUUUGGUGUAUGUUUUAAAAUAAAAAUUUUUAAAGGCUUUUAAAUCAUAUGAAUAUAAUAUUCAACACACUACUGUUGACUAUUUAUAUAUUAAAAAUUAUGAAGUAGGCAAUUGCAAAUUUGCUGAAUUUAUAGAUUCGUUGCUACUUUAUAAAUUGUCACACGAUGAGGUACAUAUGGUAAAGUUAAACUCAAAUCUGUGUUUUUUUUUGUUUUAUCUACUAUGUAUUAAGAAAUAAU
rnacentral:lncRNA from 1 species